rnacentral:rRNA from 1 species
UACGGAGGAUGCGAGCGUUAUCCGGAUUUAUUGGGUUUAAAGGGUGCGCAGGCGGAUUUUUAAGUCAGCGGUCAAAUCGUGGGGCUCAACCCCAUCCAGCCGUUGAAACUGGGGAUCUAGAGUGUGCGAGAGGUAUGCGGAAUGCGUGGUGUAGCGGUGAAAUGCAUAGAUAUCACGCAGAACCCCGAUUGCGAAGGCAGCAUACCGGUGCACGACUGACGCUCAGGCACGAAAGCGUGGGUAUCGAACAGG